ACAUGCAAGUCGAGCGUGGAAAGUUGAAAGUUGUUCGGUAGUUGACCUAGCGGCGGACGGGUGAGUAAUACUUAGAAAUCUGCCUAUUAAUGGGGGACAACAUCUCGAAAGGGAUGUUAAUACCGCAUACGCCCUACGGGGGAAAGCAGGGGAUCACUUGUGACCUUGCGUUAAUAGAUGAGCCUAAGUCGGAUUAGCUAGUUGGUGGGGUAAAGGCUACCAAGGCGACGAUCUGUAGCGGGUCUGAGAGGAUGAUCCGCCACACUGGGACUGAGACACGGCCCAGACUCCUACGGGAGGCAGCAGUGGGGAAUAUUGGACAAUGGGGGGAACCCUGAUCCAGCCAUGCCGCGUGUGUGAAGAAGGCCUUAUGGUUGUAAAGCACUUUAAGCGAGGAGGAGGCUCCUAUAGUUAAUACCUAUAGUGAGUGGACGUUACUCGCAGAAUAAGCACCGGCUAACUCUGUGCCAGCGCCGCGGUAAUACAGAGGGUGCGAGCGCUAAUCGGAUUUACUGGGCGUAAAGCGUGCGUAGGCGGCUUUUUAAGUCGGAUGUGAAAUCCCCGAGCUUAACUUGGGAAUUGCAUUCGAUACUGGGAAGCUAGAGUAUGGGAGAGGAUGGUAGAAUUCCAGGUGUAACGGUGAAAUGCGUAGAGAUCUGGAGGAAUACCGAUGGCGAAGGCAGCCAUCUGGCCUAAUACUGACGCUGAGGUACGA
rnacentral:rRNA from 1 species